CGGAGAGGGCGCAUGAGAAACGGCUACCACUUCUAAGGAAGGCAGCAGGCGCGCAAAUUACCCAAUCCUGACUCAGGGAGGUAGUGACAAGAAAUAACAAUAAACCGGCUUAUGCCGGUUUAAUUGGAAUGAGUACAAUUUAAACAUCUUAACGAGGAACAAUUGGAGGGCAAGUCUGGUGCCAGCAGCCGCGGUAAUUCCAGCUCCAAUAGCGUAAACUAAAGUUGUUGCAGUUAAAAAGCUCGUAGUUGGAUUUCUGCGGGGACGGAGCGGCCGGACGCAACUUGCGUCUCGAGCUAGCGCUUUCCCCGCAUCCUGCCGCGAACCGUGCUACCAUUAGUUUGGUGGCGCUGGGGAUCGGCUCGAUUACUUUGAGAAAAAUAGAGUGUUCAAAGCAGGCCACACGCCUUGAAUAAGUUAGCAUGGAAUAAUGACUAAGGACUUUGGUUCUUUUCGUUGGUGUUCGGGACUGAAGUAGUGAUUGAUAGGGACAGUUGGGGCGGUCCGUAUUCCAAAGCGAGAGGUGAAAUUCUUAGACCUUCGGAAGACGAACAGCUGCGAAAGCGUUCCGCAAGGAUGUUCCCUUUGAUCAAGAACGAAAGUUGGGGGAUCGAAGACGAUCAGAUACCGUCGUAGUCUCAACUAUAAACUAUACCAGCUAGGGAUCGGCCAACGUUUAAUUAUUCGACUUGGUCGGCACCUUAUGAGAAAUCAAAGCAUCUGGGUUCCGGGGGGAGUAUGGUCGCAAGGCUGAAACUUAAAGGAAUUGGCGGAAGGGCACCACCAGGCGUGGAGCCUGUGGCUUAAUUUGACUCAACACGGGAAAACUUACCAGGUCCAGACAUAGGAAGGAUUGACAGAUUGAUAGCUCUUUCUUGAUUCUGUGGGUGGUGGUGCAUGGCCGUUUUUAGUCGGUGAAGUGAUUUGUCUGCUUAAUUGCGUUAACGGACGAGACCCCAGCCUGCUAAAUAGCGCGGCCGAGCUUUGCUCGGUACGAGCUUCUUAGAGGGACCAUGAUGCGCGAUAGCACAAGGAAGUUUGGGGCAACAACAGGUCUGUGAUGCCUUUAGAUGUUCUGGGCCGCACACGGGCUACACUGGCGCCUGCAACGAGCAUAUCAGCUGGCCCGAGAGGGUCUUGGCUAAUCUUUGGAACCGGCGCCGUGCUUGGGAUUGACCAUUGCAAUUGUUGGUCAUGCAACGAGGAAUGCCUUGUAAACGCGAGUCAUCAGCUCGCAUUGAAUACGUCCCUGCCCUUUGUACACACCGCCCGUCGCUCCUACCGAUGAAUGUUCCGAUGAAAUUUUCGGAGAGCGCCGGAGAACGGGGCUCUGCCCUGCAGAACUGGAGGCUCAAAGUCACUUGAAUCUGAACAUUUCGAGGAAGGAGAAGUCGUAACAAGGUAACC
rnacentral:rRNA from 1 species